UACGUAGGGUGCAGGCGUUAAUCGGAAUUACUGGGCGUAAAGCGUGCGCAGGCGGUUUGCUAAGACAGGUGUGAAAUCCCCCGGGCUUAACCUGGGAACUGCGCUUGUAACUGGCAAGCUUGAGUGUGGCAGAGGGGGGUGGAAUUCCACGUGUAGCAGUGAAAUGCGUAGAGAUGUGGAGGAACACCGAUGGCGAAGGCAGCCCCCCUGGGCUAACACGUGACGCUCAUGCACGAAAGCGUGGGGAGCAAACAGG
rnacentral:rRNA from 1 species